GUGUGUGCUUGUGUGUGUACCAGCCAUUGAGAAAGGUGUGUAUUGUGUGUGUGCUUGUGUGUGUACCAGCCAUUGAGAUAGGUGUGUAUUGUGUGUGUGUGCUUGUGUGUGUACCAGCCAUUGAGAUAGGUGUGUAUUGUGUGUGUGCUUGUGUGUGUACCAGCCAUUGAGAAAGGUGUGUAUUGUGUGUGUGUGCUUGUGUGUGUACCAGCCAUUGAGAUAGGUGUGUAUUGUGUGUGUGCUUGUGUGUGUACCAGCCAUUGAGAAAGGUGUGUAUUGUGUGUGUGCUUGUGUGUGUACCAGCCAUUGAGAAAGGUGUGUAUUGUGUGUGUGCUUGUGUGUGUACCAGCCAUUGAGAAAGGUGUAUAUUGUGUGUGUGUGCUUGUGUGUGUACCAGCCAUUGAGAAAGGUGUAUAUUGUGUGUGUGUGCUUGUGUGUGUACCAGCCAUUGAGAUAGGUGUGUAUAUUGUGUGUGUGUGCUUGUGUGUGUACCAGCCAUUGAGAUAGGUGUAUAUUGUGUGUGUGUGUGCUUGUGUGUGUAUCAGCCAUUGAGAUAGGUGUAUACUGAUACUUCAUUGCCAUUAUUUUAACUUGUAUUUCCUUAAUGAUUAAUGAUAUUGAACAUCUUUCUGUGCUUUGGAGAUUUUUUGUGUGUGUGGUUAGUUAGUUAGUUAGUUGAAAGGUAAGUUACAGAGAGAGGGAGAGAUAGGAAGAGAGAGAGAUUUUUCAUCUUCUGGUUCACUCCCCAGAAGGCUGGGCAGGAAGAAGCCAGGAGUCCAGAACCCCAUCCGGAUCUCCCACAUGGGUGCAGGGGCCCAAGCACUUGGACCAUCUUCCACUGCUCUCCCAGGGCAUUAUCAGGGAGCUGGAUUGGAAGUGGAGUAACUGGGACUCCAACUGGCACUCCUAUGGGAAUACCAGUAUUGCAGGCCAUCACUUAACCCACCUUGACACAAGGCCAACCCCAGGAUUUUUUUAAAUUACAAAUUCAGAAGUCUUUAGUAGUUUCAGGGCUAUUUAUAUCAUGUAUCUCAUAUUAAGUGAGUUGUGACUUUCAAGCAAUGAGUGCAUUUCUUCAAAAUUAUCAAAUCAUAUAUGUGUGGAGUUACUGGUUGUGUUCCCUUUUAAGUCGCAGGAUUUGUCAUUAUUCCUGCUGUUUAAUCUGAAUUACCUCUCUUUCCUUUGUCAGUCUUGCUGCAGGUUUGUCAAUUUUAUUGAUCUUCUUAAGAACAAGCAUUUAGUUCCAUUGGUUUUUCCCUAUUUUUGUUUCCAAUUUAAUCGAUAUCUGCUUUUGUUACCUUUUCUGUCAAAUGAAGCUAAUCUUAUUCAUCUCAGAGUUGUGAGAAUUAAAUGAAAUAGUAUAUAUAAUAUAACUAUCUAGAGCAGAACUUGAAAUGUGAGUAUUCUUUUUUUUUUUUUUUUUUUUGACAGAGUUAGUGAGAGAGAGAGAGACAGAGAGAAAGGUCUUCCUUCCGUUGGUUCACCCCUCAAAUGGCCGCUACAACCUGCGUGCUGCGCCAAUCCAAAGCCAGGAGCCAGGUGCUUCCUCCUGGUCUCCCAUGCAGGUGCAGGGCCCAAGCACUUGGGCCAUCCUCCACUGCCUUCCCGGGCCACAGCAGAGAGUUGGACUGGAAGAGGGGCAACUGGGACAGAAUCCGGCACCCCGACCGGGACUAGAACCCGGGGUGCCGGCACCACAGGUGGAGGAUUAGCCAAGUGAGCCACAGUGCCGGCCCGAAAUGUGAAUAUUCUUAGAAAGUAUUUUUCCCCCUUGAGCUAUCUUCCUUAAUAGAAUGUCUUACUUAGGCAUUAUGGCAGUUUAAAAAAAAGCACCUGUCUGCCUCAGUGUGUGGAGCAGUAGACUGGUGUUUCAGGCUGUCCCUUCUUUUUUAACUUUCUAAAUGUUUAGUUAUUUGAAAGGCAGAAUGAUAGAGAGGUAGAGGUGGGAAAAGAGAUCUUUCAUUGGCUAAUUCAUUCCCCCAGAUGGCUGCAACAGCUGGAACUGGGUCAGGCUGAAGCCAGGAACAAGGAACUCCAUCUGGGUUUCCCACAUGGGUGGCAAGAGCUCAAGCCUCCCAGCCACAUUAACAGGGAGCUGAUCAGAAGUGGAGUAACUGGACUGAGACCAGCACUCCUAUAUGGACUGUGGGCAUUCCAAGCAGGAGGGUUAACUCCUGGGCCAUGACGCCUGCCCCAGGCUUUCCAGUCUUGAGAUUUUUCUUUCUCUUUUCUUCAAAAUGACAUUCAACUCAAGUCUAGAUUUGCACAGAUACAAAUUUAAUAGUAAUAAGAGUUGUUUAGUUUUGCAAAAUAUCUCUCAGCCACCACGGCCACUGUUGUAAAUACCGCAAGGAUUCCUGAGUGUUCUGGAACCACCUGUUGGGUAAUUAAGAAAAGAAUUAAAAUGGAAAGUGGACACUUGGCACCUCUGGUCAAGUGUCAGAAUCUACUGCAUUCAUUCUAAGACCUAUUUAGUGAAUUAAAUCAUUUCUGCUGUCUCUCAAGGAGAGCUCCUAUUGGGCUCCGUUUCCAGUAUGGGCACCAAUACAACCCACAGACACUCCCAGCAUUGGAACAAUGUCCCUUUCUGUUUCAAGGACAAAGAGAAGAAAAAGGAAGUGUUUCGCUGGGGCCAGAUGAUAUUACACAUAACAGGAGAUGCCUAGGAGUUUUGCUGUGUGCACACACGCAUUUAUAACAUAUUACACAUGUAUAUUUAGAUUAUAUGCACUUGUAUCAGAAUAUCUAUGCAGUAUAUAUACCAAUUAAAUAUUAUCUAUAUACCAUAAAUACAGGAUAAAUAUAUUCAUAAUGUUAUAAAUAUACUAAAAUAGACAAUACAUUUAUAUUAUGAGGAUAUUUCAGAAAGUUCAUUAAAGAAUGGAAUUAAAAGAUAACUUUAUUUUUAAGGACUCUUGCAUGUAUAUAUAACAAAGCCACACCUCCAAUUUUUUUUUUUAUUUGACAGAUAGAGUUAGACAGUGUGAGAGACAAAGAGAGAAAGGUCCUCCCUCUGUCAGCUCACCCCCAAAAUGGCUGCUACGGCCAGAACUAUGCUGAUCCAAAGCCAGGAGCCAGGAGCCUGAUGCCUCCUCCAGUCUCCCAUGUGGAUGCAGGGGCCCAAGCACCUGGGCCACCCUCCACUGCCCUCCCCGGACACAGCAGAGAGCUGGACUGGAAGAGGAGCAGCCAGGACUAGAACCCGGCGCCCAUAUGGGAUGCUGGUGCCACAGGCGGAGGAUUAACCAAGUGAGCGUCGGUGCCGGACCUCACACCUCCAAUUUGAAUGUAACAUCUCAGAGUUCUUUCUAGCCUUGUCCCUUACUAUAUUAACCAUCAUCUCUGAUGAUGUUAGUGAGAUGCACGGUGCUGAUUACUGUUAUUUGGUUUGCUGUUUGCUCAAAUAGCCAAUCUCUGGAACCCUGUCUCUGCCACCUCCACCCAACUCCCCAGCCACUGCCCUCCAGCCUAAGGCCCACCAACCUGAACCUCCUUUCACUGCCGCACACUCAGCUGUAGGAAAGAUCGGCCCAGGACCUACCUUUGGUUUUUAUUAUUAUUUUUUAAAUUUUUACUUAUUUUGUUUGAAAGGAGAAAGGCAGACGCAGAGAAAGACAGCAAAAUGACCCAUCUUCUGUUUCACUCCCCAAACGCUCCAACAGCUGGGGCUGGACCAGGCCGAAGCCAGGAGCCAGGAGUCAGGAAAUCAAUCCAGAUCUCCCACAUGGGUGGUGGGGACCUGAGUACUUGCUACCUCCUUGUGUGUGCAUUAGCAGGAAGUUGGAAUCGUGAACAGAGUCAAGACUAAUGCUCAGACACUCUGAUGCAAGUGUUCCAAGCUGUGACCUAACCACUAUGCCAGAUGCCUGUCCCUUACUAUGGUGUAUUAUCAAGCCAAUUAAGGGUGAUUUUUAGGGAGUUGGGCAUUUAGUGAUGAGGACACUACUUGCAAUGCCCACAUUUGGUUUAAGAGGCCUAGGUUUGAAUUCCAGCUCUUUUUCUGAUUCCAGCUUCCUACAAAUAUAUACCCUGUGAGGUAAUAGGUAAUGACUCAAAUACUUGAGUUCCUGUGUGGGAGACCCAGAUUGAGUUCCUGGCUUCUGGCUCUGGUCUGGCCAAGCUCCAGCUGUUCCAGGCAUUUGGAGAGUGAACCAGUAGAUGGGAGAUCUCUCUGUCUGUUUCUCGCUCUCUCUCUCCUCCCCCCCCCCGCCCCAC